GUUAAAAAGCUCGUAGUUGGAUUUCGGAGUGGGCCAGUUGGUCCGCCGCAAGGUGUGUUACUGACUGGUUUGCUCUUCUUCGCAAAGACUGCGUGUGCUCUUCAGUGAGUGUCCGUAGGAUUUACGACGUUUACUUUGAAAAAAUUAGAGUGUUCAAAGCAGGCUAUUGCUUGAAUACAUGAGCAUGGAAUAAUGGAAUAGGACUUUGGUCCCAUUUUGUUGGUUUCUAGGGCCGAAGUAAUGAUUAAGAGGGACAAUUGGGGGCAUCCGUAUUUCGUUGUCAGAGGUGAAAUUCUUGGAUUUACGAAAGACGAACAACUGCGAAAGCACUUGCCAAGAGUGUUUUCAUUAAUCAAGAACGAAAGUUAGAGGAUCGAAGGCGAUCAGAUACCGUCCUAGUUCUAACCAUAAACGAUGUCGACUAGGGAUCAGCGGGCGUUAUCGUACGACCCCGUUGGCACCUUACGGGAAACCAAAGUUUCUGGAUUCCGGGGGAAGUAUGGUUGCAAAGCUGAAACUUAAAGGAAUUGACGGAAGGGCACCACCAGGAGUGGAGCCUGUGGCUCAAUUUGACUCAACACGGGAAAACUUACCAGGUCCAGACAUAGUAAGGAUUGACAGGUUGAGAGCCCUUUCUUGAUUCUAUGGGUGGUGGUGCAUG
rnacentral:rRNA from 1 species